UCUUCGAAAACAGUACCACGCGUCAAUGCAGCGAACGGCAGUCAACUCAGUCUCCUUCGGGACGCCAGCAAGAUACCCUUGCGUGAGUGUAUACGAUGGUGAAAAAAAAAAUGUUUCAAUCAUUCACGUGUAUCGUCGCCAAUGUUGAUGGAUUCCGUGCAUCAUCAGCGAGUUAUGUGUGAUGUUGGUCGAUAAAAGUUGAUUAAGUGACCUUUUUGGAACUGGUCUUGAAAUGGGCGUUCUGGCGUUGGACGGUGUGGAUAUGUACUGUGGGCAGUUGAGGCCAAAAUUUUUAUCCCGCGGACCUCAAGUCAUCACCGGCGAGGGAAAAAAGUCUGAAGCCGACGACUGCCACCACAGACAAAAAAGGCGAUACAAUACAAGAGCUGCCGAGACUGUCCGUUGAAUGAGCCUUUGAUUCGCUUUCCCAACAAACAUUGAGAUUGCCUUUGCCUGCAGCAUCAGCACGAGCCUCUGGCUUUUGUUUGGCAUCGGUUCAGAUGAUCCGUGAGCUUAUCCAGGUGGAUGCGAAUUGCGGAAGAAAAACGGGAAAGACCAACAUGAAAACCAACUAUGGGAGGGUUGGCAUGCCUGACGUGGUGGACCAAAAAAUCAACUUCAAGCUACUGAACGACCUAUACCUAUUUCUGCACAAACUCCCUUUUACUUAUUGCACAUGUACAUUCGAGGAAUUUUUUGAGCGGAAUGGCUGCCUUGAAAUAAUAAAUUUAGAAGAGCGACUCAUCGAGUGGAUUAAUGAAGGAUAUAUAUGUUCAUUUCGCACAAUUGUUUUCAUUUUAAUUCAACGCAAUGU